AUCCUUAUGCAUGGGAAAUACGCAAAUCAGUGAGGAUUCGUCCGAGAUUGUGUUUUUGCUGGUUGAAAUUUACUUUUAACCUGACCCAUCUUCUCAUAGUCAACUUAUAAUGAAUUCGCUUUAGAAUUCAUUUAGACCAUGUAGAGAAUUUUUGGCUUCAUUUUUCAAAUA
rnacentral:snRNA from 1 species